GACAGAGGGUGCAAACGUUGUUCGGAAUCACUGGGCGUAAAGCGCGUGUAGGCUGCUGCGCAAGUCGGAUGUGAAAUCCCACGGCUCAACCAUGGAAGUGCAUUCGAAACUGCGUAGCUAGAGUUUUGGAGAGGAAGGCGGAAUACUCGGUGUAGAGGUGAAAUUCGUAGAUAUCGAGUGGAACACCGGUGGCGAAGGCGGCCUUCUGGACAAUGACUGACGCUGAAACGCGAAAGCGUGGGGAGCGAACGGG
rnacentral:rRNA from 1 species